AGUUGCAUGCAGUAGACCCGAAACCGGGUGAUCUAGCCAUGACCAGGUUGAAGUUGGGGUAAAACCCGAUGGAGGACCGAACCGACCCCCGUUGAAACGUUGGCGGAUGAGUUGUGGCUAGGGGUGAAAUUCCAAUCGAACCCGGAGAUAGCUGGUUCUCCCCGAAAUAGCUUUAGGGCUAGCGUCGAGGUAAGUUGCGUGAAGGUAGAGCACUGAAUAUGUGAUGGCCCCAUCUCGGGGUACUGAGCAUAAUCAAACUGCGAAUGUCACGCCAACAUGCUCGGCAGUCAGACAGCGGGUGAUAAGGUCCGUUGUCAAGAGGGAAACAGCCCAGACCAUCAGCUAAGGUCCCAAAAUGUAUGCUAAGUGGAAAAGGAUGUGGAGAUGUACAGACAACUAGGAGGUUGGCUCAGAAGCAGCCAUCCUUUAAAGAGUGCGUAACAGCUCACUAGUCGAAUGACUCUGCGCCGAUAAUUUACCGGGGCUAAGCAUACUACCGAAGCUAUGGAUCCCAAGGGAUGGUAGGGGAGCGUUCCAUGAACGGAGAAGUACGACCGAAAGGACGUGUGGAGAUCAUGGAAGAGAGAAUGCCGGUGUGAGUAGCGGAACGUGGGUGAGAAUCCCACGCACCGAAAACCCAAGGUUUCCAGAGGAAGGUUCGUCCGCUCUGGGUAAGUCGGGACCUAAGGCGAGGCCGAAAGGCGUAGUCGAUGGACAACAGGUAGAGAUUCCUGUACCCGUAUAUAUGUGAAGGAAUGACGGAGAGAGGAAGCUGCAGCCAGCGGCUGGAAGAGCUGGUGCAAGCGAGAUAUCGGGAUGGCAGGCAAAUCCACCAUCCGAAACGAGAAGGCGUGAAGCGUACGGAAAGCUACGGCGAGUACGGAAGGCAGUGGAGGAACUUCCAAGAAAAGUUUCUAACGUUAAGUAUAUAUGGCCCGUACCGAAAAUGGACACACAUGGGUGAGGAGAGAAUCCUAAGGUGAGCGAGAGAACUAUAGCUAAGGAACUCUGCAAAAUGACUCCGUAACUUAGGGAGAAGGAGUGCUCAUAGAGAUAUGAGCCGCAGUGAAACGGCCCAAGCGACUGUUUACCAAAAACACAGCUCUCUGCUAAGCCGCAAGGCGAAGUAUAGGGGGUGACGCCUGCCCGGUGCUGGAAGGUUAAGGGGAGGGGUUAACGCAAGUGAAGCCCUGAACUGAAGCCCCAGUAAACGGCGGCCGUAACUAUAACGGUCCUAAGGUAGCGAAAUUCCUUGUCAGGUAAGUUCUGACCCGCACGAAAGGCGUAAUGAUCUGGGUACUGUCUCAACCAUAGACUCGGUGAAAUCUUAAUACCUGUGAAAAUGCAGGUUACCCGCGACUGGACGAGAAGACCCCGUGGAGCUUUACUGUAGCUUGAUAUUGGAAUUCGGUAAACUAUGUAGAGCAUAGGUGGGAGACUAUGAGAUUAAGGCGCCAGCCUUAAAGGAGUCACCAUUGGAAUACCACCCUUAGUUUAUUGGAUUUCUAACCUAGGACCAUUAUCUGGUUCAGGGACAGUGUCUGGUGGGCAGUUUGACUGGGGCGGUCGCCUCCUAAAAUGUAACGGAGGCGUUCAAAGGUUCCCUCAGAAUGGUUGGAAAUCAUUCAAAGAGCAUAAAGGUAUAUAGGGAGCUUGACUGCAAGACCUACAAGUCAAGCAGGUGCGAAAGCAGGACUUAGUGAUCAGGCGAUUCAGAAUGGAAUGGUCGUCGCUUAACGGAUAAAAGUUACCCCGGGGAUAACAGGCUGAUACCACCCAAUAGUUCACAUAGACGGUGGUGUUUGGCACCUCGAUGUCGGCUCGUCACAUCCUGGAGGUGAAGUCGCUUCGUGAGACAGUUCGGUCUCUAUCCGUCGUGGGCGCAGGAAAAUUGAGGAGAGCUAUCCUUAGUACGAGAGGACCGGGAUGGACCUACCUCUGGUGUAUCUGUUGUCACGCCAGUGGCAGUGCAGAGUAGCUAUGUAGGGAAGGGAUAAACGCUGAAAGCAUCUAAGCGUGAAGCCCUCUCCAAGAUGAGUUUUCCCAUUGUUUAACAAGUAAAAUCCCAGAUAGACUAACUGGUUGAUAGGCUAGAAGUGGAAGUGUAGUGAUACAUUGAGCGGACUAGUACUAAUAGAUUGAGGAUUUAAUCCC
rnacentral:rRNA from 1 species